rnacentral:rRNA from 1 species
CCUACGGGUGGCAGCAGUGGGGAAUAUUGCACAAUGGGGGAAACCCUGAUGCAGCGACGCCGCGUGAGUGAAGAAGUAUUUAGGUAUGUAAAGCUCUUUCAGCAGGGAAGAAAAUGACGGUACCUGAUUAAGAAGCCCCGGCUAACUACGUGCCAGCAGCCGCGGUAAUACGGAGGGAGCAAGCGUUAUCCGGCUUUACUGGGUGUAAAGGGAGCGUAGACGGCAGCACAAGUCUGGAGUGAAAGGCCGGGGCUUAACCCCGGAACUGUAUUGGAAACUGUGCAGCUAGAGUGCAGGUGAGGUAAGUGGAAUUCGUGGUGUAGCGGUGAAAUGCGUAGAUAUUAGGAAGAACACCAGUGGCGAAGGCAGCUUACUGGACUGUAACUGACGUUGAGGCUCGAAAGUGUGGGUAGCAAACAGGAUUAGAUACCCCUGUAGUC